GGGCCUGUAGCUCAGAGCGUGGAUUGCGAGCAAUUCGGUUAGAGCGUCCGGCUCAUAACCGGACGGUCGGGAGUUCGAAUCUCCCCAGGCCCA
rnacentral:tRNA from 1 species